rnacentral:rRNA from 1 species
GACAUCCAGAGAACUUGGCAGAGAUGCCUCGGUGCCUUCGGGAACUCUGAGACAGGUGCUGCAUGGCUGUCGUCAGCUCGUGUUGUGAAAUGUUCGGGUUAAGUCCCGCAACGAGCGCAACCCCUAUCCUUGUGCCAGCGAUUCGGUCGGGAACUCAAAGGAGACUGCCGGUGAUAAACCGGAGGAAGGUGGGGAUGACGUCAAGUCAUCAUGGCCCUUACGAGUAGGGCUACACACGUGCUACAAUGGCGUAUACAAAGAGAAGCGACCUCGCGAGAGCAAGCGGACCUCAUAAAGUACGUCGUAGUCCGGAUUGGAGUCUGCAACUCGACUCCAUGAAGUCGGAAUCGCUAGUAAUCGUAGAUCAGAAUGCUACGGUGAAUACGUUCCCGGGCCUUGUACACACCGCCCGUCACACCAUGGGAGUGGGUUGCAAAAGAAGUAGAUAGCUUAACCUUCGGGAGGGCGUUUACCACUUUGUGAUUCAUGACUGGGGUGAAGUCGUAACAAGGUAAGCGUACGUGU